UUAAACGUGGUUCGAAAACCUCCCACGAAAAAAAACUAAGGAGAG
rfam:Bacillus sp. MTM 116 19, whole genome shotgun sequence.